UCUCAUGGAUACGCAAAGACAGUGGUUUCUUGAGAUGGAAUCUACUCCUGAUGAAGAUGUUCUGAA
rnacentral:pre_miRNA from 1 species